GGCAACGUGGCCGAGUGGUCUAAGGCGCUGGAAUUAGGUGAUCGUCCUGAAAAGGCAUGGUUUACGUACUAUCCAGUCCUCCGGGGCGUGAGUUCGAACCUCACCGUUGUCA